rnacentral:rRNA from 1 species
CGCGUAGGCGGUCUUUUAAGUCUCGUGUGAAAUCCCUCGGCUCAACUGAGGAACUGCACGGGAUACUGGAUGACUUGAGUUCGGGAGAGGGAAGCGGAAUUCCGGGUGUAGCGGUGAAAUGCGUAGAUAUCCGGAGGAACACCGGUGGCGAAGGCGGCUUCCUGGACCGACACUGACGCUGAGGCGCGAAAGCUAGGGGAAGGCAAACG